AAUGGGCUUCAUAUUAUGUCUAUUAUGAUUCUGAAUAUCCCAAUUGAAACUGUAUAAUUAGAUUGUGGAAAUGUGAUUAGCACUAGAUAGAAGUAAAUUUUGAAAGUAUGAACCUAUGUGAAUAUGAAACUAAAGAAUAAUGUAUUUGUUGAUUUUAUUAAGAAGAAACAAUUAUAUUUGAUGUGUUAAAUCAAAGUUUAAUGGUAAGGUUUAGUAAUUUAGGAAACU
rnacentral:misc_RNA from 1 species